rnacentral:rRNA from 1 species
UACAGAGGGGGCAAGCGUUGUUCGGAAUUACUGGGCGUAAAGGGCGCGUAGGCGGCCUUCUAAGUCGAACGUGAAAUCCCCGGGCUCAACUCGGGAACUGCGUCCGAGACUGGAAGGCUUGAAUCCGGGAGAGGGAUGUGGAAUUCCAGGUGUAGCGGUGAAAUGCGUAGAUAUCUGGAGGAACAUCGGUGGCGAAGGCGGCAUCCUGGACCGGUAUUGACGCUGAGGCGCGAAAGCCAGGGGAGCAAACGGG